rnacentral:rRNA from 1 species
AGUGAACGCUGGCGGCGUGCUUAACACAUGCAAGUCGAACGAGAACGGGCUAUAGCUUGCUAUAGUUGUCAGCUAAGUGGCGCACGGGUGAGUAAUGUAUAGGUAAUAUGCCUCUUACUAAGGGAUAACAAAUGGAAACGUUUGCUAAUACCUUAUACUCCUUAUUAACAGAAGUUAAUAAGGGAAAGAUUUAUUGGUAAGAGAUUAGCCUGUAUUGUAUCAGUUAGUUGGUGGGGUAAUGGCUUACCAAGACUAUGACACAUAACUGGUUUGAGAGGAUGAUCACUCACACUGGAACUGAGACACGGUCCAGACUCCUACGGGAGGCAGCAGUGGGGAAUAUUGCGCAAUGGACGAAAGUCUGAUGCAGCAACGCCGCGUGGAGGAUGACACAUUUCGGUGCGUAAACUCCUUUUAUAUGAGAAGAUAAUGACGGUAUUAUAUGAAUAAGCACCGGCUAACUCCGUGCCAGCAGCCGCCGUAA